ACCAAUGUCCACAUCACUGAUGAAGAUGUUAAACAGUAUAGGCCCUAGGACAGAGCCUUGAGGGACCCCGCUGGUGACUGCACACCAAGACGAUUAGCUCCCAUCAACCACCACCCUCUGGGUCCUACCAUGGAGCUAAUUCCCCAGCCAAUGGAUCGUGGUGAGGUCAAGGCCACAGUU